rnacentral:rRNA from 1 species
GGCUGUCGGCUGCUACCAUGCAGUCGAACGAACCCUUCGGGGUUAGUGGCGCACGGGUGCGUAACGCGUGGGAACCUGCCUUUAGGUUCGGAAUAACUCAGAGAAAUUUGAGCUAAUACCGGAUAAUGUCUUCGGACCAAAGAUUUAUCGCCUUUAGAUGGGCCCGCGUUAGAUUAGAUAGUUGGUGGGGUAAUGGCCUACCAAGUCGACGAUCUAUAGCUGGUCUGAGAGGAUGAUCAGCCACACUGGGACUGAGACACGGCCCAGACUCCUACGGGAGGCAGCAGUGGGGAAUAUUGGACAAUGGGCGAAAGCCUGAUCCAGCAAUGCCGCGUGAGUGAUGAAGGCCUUAGGGUUGUAAAGCUCUUUUACCAGGGAUGAUAAUGACAGUACCUGGAGAAUAAGCUCCGGCUAACUCCGUGCCAGCAGCCGCGGUAAUACGGAGGGAGCUAGCGUUGUUCGGAAUUACUGGGCGUAAAGCGCGCGUAGGCGGCUUUUCAAGUCAGGGGUGAAAUCCCGGGGCUCAACCCCGGAACUGCCCUUGAAACUGGAUGGCUAGAAUACUGGAGAGGUGAGUGGAAUUCCGAGUGUAGAGGUGAAAUUCGUAGAUAUUCGGAAGAACACCAGUGGCGAAGGCGACUCACUGGACAGUUAUUGACGCUGAGUGCGAAAGCGUGGGGGAGCAAACAGGAUUAGAUACCCUGGUAGUCCACGCCGUAACGAUGAUACUAGCUGCUUGGGCUCAUGGAGCUUGGGUGGCGCAGCUAACGCAUAAGUUAUCCGCCUGGGGAGUACGUCGC